AACUCAAAGGAAUUGACGGGGGCCCGCACAAGCGGUGGAGCAUGUGGUUUAAUUCGAUGAUACGCGAGGAACCUUACCUGGGCUCAAAUGUAUGUUUGACGUAUUCUGAAAGGGAUACUUCUUCGGACAAUAUACAAGGUGCUGCAUGGUUGUCGUCAGCUCGUGCCGUGAGGUGUCCGGGUUAAGUCCCCAUAACGAGCGCAACCCCUACUGCUAGUUGCCAGCGGGUCAUGCCGGGGACUCUAGCGGAACUGCCAGCGUAAGCUGCGAGGAAGGUGGGGAUGACGUCAAAUCAGCACGGCCCUUACGUCCAGGGCUACACACGUGUUACAAUGGCCGGUACAGAGGGCAGCCACCCCGCGAGGGGGCGACGAAUCCCGAAAGCCGGUCCCCAGUUCGGAUCGGAGUCUGCAACCCGACUCCGUGAAGCUGGAUUCGCUAGUAAUCGCGCAUCAGCCACGGCGCGGUGAAUACGUUCCCGGGCCUU
rnacentral:rRNA from 1 species